GAUCGACAAAUUUCGAGUUGAGUGAUAGUGCUUUUUAUUAGUGGAAGUGCUGGCCGAAGGUGGAAAUAAAAAAGGCGCAUCUUUCUAGAGCCUUGUGCUUGGAGCAAGGUGCACGCCUAGGCGCAUAAUGCAAGGUCCUAGUGAAUGUUGCCUAGGGUUGGAGUCUGGUGAGCCUAGAACCUGAGGCGUGCUUUUAAUAACUA
rnacentral:misc_RNA from 1 species